ACUAAUGGUUUAUUGCUGCUAGGUGCUGCAUUUUCACUUCUAAGAAUAGAAUAAACGGAAAACCGAGUAAAUCUCACUUUACUCUCUGGAUAUGACAAUUUGUUUAUCAACUACAUUCUACAAAUCUUGUAGAAAGAAGCUGAUUGGUCCAAAAAUUCUUGAAUCUCAUUGGUCACUCUAAUUUGAUUAUUUUUCAAUCUCUCCCUCAAAUUCAGUUUGCAUAUAUCCCGCUUAUUCAUUUCUGUCCUUAUUCAAUGUUAACUAUGUCGAAUUAUCAGGGGUUUUAUUUUUAAAUUUUAAUUUUUUAGUUAUCAAGCUUGAUUUAAGGUUAAUUGUGUUUUGUGAUUGGUUCGUUUUAUUGAAUAUUUUCCCAUCUUUUUUAUGGUUUUACGUGCUAUGCCCACUCCCUCCAACUUUCAAAUUUGACAUUAAUGCAUUGCAAUUUUCACAGGAGCAUUUACAAAGGUGUCUUGUGAAUCCAUGCCAGUAUGAGAGCACAGGUUAAUGACUAAAUUUUUCUUGGCCAUCUGUUUUUCAUUUUUGAUGUUUCACAAUUGUAUUUCUGAUCUCUUUAUUCUGAAGUUGCUUCAUUUUCCCAUGUUCAUGCACCUGAAACCUCCAUCAUCUCCCAACUUUCUCACAUCAUUUUCUCAUCCUAUAUCGUCUUUCCAGCACCCCCCCAAAUUGGACCUCAUCUUUGUCAAUGAUAGCCGUUAGAGCCAUUCCAAGAGGUAAAGCCACUCUAUUUAAUUUCCUUCGGCACUCAGGCUGAAUAGUGAUGAUUCCGGCUCUAUGUUUCUUCUUUUUACUUAUUUUGGUAUUCAUGAUUGUUUAUUACGAUUUUAUACAAUUUUCUAUUUUGGCAAAUGCUGAGCAAAUAAAGUUGUUUUGAAACUGAGUUCGGUGGUGAGCUUUAUUUGGCAUAUCUAAGGAAUGUGAUAUCGAGGAUGAAGAAAUGAACAAUGGUAAUAUCCAAAUCAAUGAGUGGAGAUGCUAAUUAGGCUAUGGGAAUUGGUGAUGGAACUCUUAUUGGCUAUUUUCUAGCGUAGCAUUUGGAGAAGAUUUCUAAAUCUUGCAGAGGUUUCUGUUUCUAAAUCUUGUGAACUGGAACAUUGUGAGAAGCAACGAACUGUGUGAAAUCACUCUUCUUCUUCUUCUUCUUCUUCUUCUUUUUUAACUCAACAAUUAAGCAAACAAAGUUCAUUUGCAAUUUUGCUGGAACAUGUGCUGAAUGCUAUUAAUUGCACGGAACAUUGUGCUAGAAGUCAGUCUUCCAAACAAAGUUGAUAGGGGUACACUGAUAAUAAUAAGCCUUUACUGAGAAAGACAAGGAGAAAAGUUAGUCUGAAGACAAGGAGAAAAGGCAUAAUAAGCAUAAGAACAGGGACAGAGAGAAGGACAAGGAGCAUAAGAAGCACAAGCAUUGCCAUAAAGACCAAAGCAAAGAUAAAGACAAGGAAAAAAGGAAAGAAAAAAGUGGGCAUCAAGUUUCCAAUGCCAAUCAUGGCAAGAAACACCAUGAAAAGGCUUUGAGGAUUCUCUAGCAGUGAUGAAAAACAGGAUAGGAGAUUUGAUUUUGAGAACUCAGAGGAUGAAAGAUGGAUAAGAAAUGGUUCUCUCGAAAAGAAAGCAAUUAAUGCGCCUACCAAAUUCAAGCUCUUAAGAAAAAGAGUGGCAAGAGAAAAAGUGAUGGUGAGAUUAGAUCGGUUUCUAUUGAGGAUGUUCGGGAUGUUGAGGAACUAUAGGCUGUUAAUGCCUUCAGAUAAUCAUUGAUCGUGGAUGAAUUGCCCCCAGAAAAACAUGAAGGUUACCACAUGAUGUUAAGGUACUUAAAAAGCAAGGAAAUAUGAUAUUGAAAAGGCAAAGCGCAUGUGGGCUGAUGUCCUCAUAUGGAUGAAAGAUUUUGGUGGUGACACCAUUAUGGAGGCAAUAUAGAUAUUACAUGCAAAAUAUUUACUUGACUUCCGCCUCUAAAAAUUUAGGGGAUAAGACUUGAACUUUGAGUACUUGAUAUUUUCUACACCCUUCAUGCUUAAUUUUUUGUUUUAAUUAGGAUUUUGAGUACAAGGAGUUAAAUGAGGUUCUGGAGUAUUACCCUCACUGUCAUCAUGGUGUUGUUAAGGUGGGAAGACCAGUUUAUAUUGAAAGACUUGGAAAGGUUGAUCCAAACAAAUAAACUUAUACAAGUUACAACUUUGGAUAGAUAUGUAAAGUACCAUGUCCAAGAGUUUGAGAAAAUCUUUGCAAUUAAGUUUCCUGCAUGCCUACACCAUUGCUGCCAAGAGGCACAUAGAUUCAAGCACCACAAUCUUAGAUGUCCAUGGCGUCAUUACUUUCUAAUAAUUGUUCCCUGCUAAAGUUGCUGUCAAAUUAUUUCUUAUGACAUCUAUUAUUAGGGUUUGGAGAACUUUACAAAGUCUGCUCGGGAACUCAUAAUGGGACUACAAAAGAUUGAUGGAGAUAAUUACCCUGAGACUCUUUGCCAAAUGUUUAUCAUAAACUCUGGCCUGGAUUCAAGCUACUGUGGAACACUGGCAAAACUUUUAUUGAUUCCAAAACAACUUCUAAAAUUUAUGCAUGCAAAAAUGCAGCCUUCUAGCAGAUGCCUGAUUUUCUUGGAGGCACCUGCAAUUGUGCAGAUCUGGGAAGUUGCCUUAGAUCCGACAAAGGGCCUUGGAAGAACCCUAAAAUAUUGAAGGAAAUAUGCUUUUAUAGAAUACAUUGUUGAUUCAUUACCGUUGAUUGUUUUGGUAGUUUUUAUACAACGUCAGUUGGACUUUACUUAUGAGGCAUUCAAAAUGAUUUGUCUCCACGUACUCAGUUGUUUUCAUGCUUGUGCCCCAUGAGGUAUGGAGAAAGACGGGGUCCAUUACCAUUUUGCUGAACGAAGUGCCAUGGAGAAAGAUAUCAAAGAUGGCAAGUUUCUUGAAUUUGCUUCUGUUCAUGGCAAUCUCUAAGGGGCAUUGAGGAUGUUGAACUCAAUGAAGUUGAUUUUUGUUCUUUGAUGAUUGGUUUCUCAAUGUUUGUGGAUGCCCAGGCUCCAAAAAUUGGGGAGUCAUUUUCAACUAAAUCAAAAUUUUGAUAUUAUCGUCUCCUCA